UGUGUGUGUGUGUGUGUGUGUGUGUGUGUGUGUGUUUGUGUAUACUUGUAUAUCAGGAUUUAACCUCUUAAACCCUGAUAUAUUAUUCAGUUAGAAACUAAUGAAUGUCAGGAACUGCCAAUAGGACUUUAGGGACUAAAAGUUAAUAUUAAUGAUCUGUGUGAACUAUGAGCACAAUUGACAGAUAUGUUUGUAUGUUUGCCAGCUAUAAGUGUGAUCAUUCUCAGGACUAGCACAUACUCCAACAGUCUGAGGAGGUAUAAAUACUCUGUCAACACUCACUCGAGUGUCUAGUGAUAUGGUUGAUGAUCCAUUAAUAACCCUUCCUUUUUAGAUGCACUAUACUUAGAGUCUGCUGUUGUUUACUGCUGCUAUUGCUGUUCUUCCUCUUAACUUUUUAACCCUCAUAACCCAAAUCUGACCUUCAGUUCAUUUCUAUAAUUCUGUUGAGGUUUGGCGAGGUUUGGUGUGUUUGCUGAUCUGGGGUUUGGUUUUGUCAGGCUCCUUUGGCAAGAGUUUUAGAAUGCUGACCUUUGCGUAUGUGUGUGUGUGUGUGUGUGUGUGUGUGUGUGUGUGUGUGUGUGUGUGUGUGUGUGUGUGUGUGUGUGUAGGGAUGUGGCACUGUUUUCUUUUUCAGGACAGGAAGCGGGGAUCCCAAACCCAUCCACCAUGUUUGCUAGAGAACAUCUGCUCCUCAUUUGUUUCAGUCUCGCUUGUUUUUAUUCCUCCGUCCGGCCCACCCUCGUGUUCUGUCCAUCCCAACCUGAAUGUUGACUCUCACUGACAAAUCAUGUCUCUUCCUUAAUGUGUUUGUCCAUGUAGCCCUUUCUCUCUUGUCAUCCUCACUGUUUCCAUCUGUCUCCUCUAUAGCAGGGAAUAGUUUUACGAUGUAAAUGCUGAAUUUGGAGGACACUGAUUUUUUGGUGGCUCAGAACAGCACAAGAUGGAGAGGUUGUGCUUUGCACUAUUUUUUUUCUUACAGAUCCUUUGCCAUUGAUAGCAAAGACUUUUCAUCAGUAAAACUCCUUCCUGUAUGAUUCUCUCUCUUCCGCCUCACUCACACAUGGAAACUUUCAAAUUGGUCAGAGGGUGUUAGAAAUUUACAGAGUGUAAUGUGUGUAUGCGUAUGCACUCAAUUUCACUUUUUUCUGUAGUGAGUAAACUCUGAGAAUGUGUUAAUAAGUAUAAUAGCUAAUAAGGACCGGUAAUAUUAAAAAGCAAAUAGACAGGACUGAAGUUGAGAUCAAAAGAUGAGUGGCACAGACUGUGGGUCAUUAUCAGUAUUCAGAUGGUAUUCAGAAAAGGCGCUGCAGACAAAAGCAUGCCCAGACUGUGCAUACAUGCAAUUGUAGAUUGUGUGUGCCCAAAAUAUACACUAUAUGGUCAAAAGUAUGUGGACACCCGAUCAUCACACCUAUAUGUGGUUCUUCCCCUAACUUUUACCACAAAUUUGGAAGCACACAAUUGUAUAAAAUGUCUUUGUAUGCUGUCACGUUACAAUUUCCCUUCACUGGAACUAAGAGGCUCAAACCUGUUCCAGCAUGACAAUACCCCUGUGCACAAAGAGAGCUCCAUGAAGACAUGGUUUACUAAGGUUGGAGUAGAAGAAAUCGAAUGUCCUCCACAGAGCCCUGACCUCAACCCCACUCAACACCUUUGGGAUGAACGGGAAUGCUGACUGAGCCUCAGAUAUCCUCCUCACCAACAUCAGUGCCUAAGCUCACUAAUGCUCUUGUGAUUGACUGAACACAAAUUCCCACAGCCAAGCUCCAAAAUCUCGUGGGAAGCCUUCCCAUAAGAGUGGAGCUUAUUAUAACAGCAAAGGGGGGGAAAAUAUGGAAUGAGAUGUUCAAAAAGCACAUAUUGGGUGUGAUGGCCGGGUGACCACAAACUUUUGGCCAUAUAGUGUACAUAAUAUUAUCGAAGAAUCAGUUGUAUACUAUAUGUGUACUUAAGGUUUCGUUUUGUUGUUAGUUUCUUCCGUCAUGAGAAACAUGUGCUUGCAGAUUGUACGCUUUUGCAAUUUAAAGUAAAUUUUAUAUUAUAUGAAAGAAUAUACUGAGUAUGAAACACAGUACAUACUGCCCUCUCAAGGUUGUUGCUAUUGUAAAGAGUUUCUGGAGUAAUAACAUCAUCAACACAUUAGCCACAACAGUCCUGAAUGAUACCGCACAUUCAUGAUGUCAUUUUUCACGUGGAUGUGAAAACUGCUCUAGACGAUGUGAAGAAGUUCUGUUCUGGGCAUGAAGUUCUCACUUGCUUGUGUCACCGGGUUCACCAAUAGUGAGGGUGUGACUGUGUAUGUGUAUGUGUGUGUGUGUGUGUGUGUGUGUGUGUGUGUGUGUGUGUGUGUGAGAGAGAGAGAGAGAGAGCGAGAGAGAGAGAGAGAGAGAGAGAGAGAGAGAGAGAGAGAGAGAGAGAGAGAGAGAGAGAGAGCGAGAGCACAAAAUAGAGAAUAACUCUCACCAGACCUCAGCAUUUGUUUAGGAGCUUAGCGUAGAUGGCAUCUUUAUUGAAGCACUAAUUAAAGAGACUGUCAUGACUCUGAGGGUUAUGUCCUCCGCUGAGUGAACUCAUUUGCAGUCUGCAACCAUGCAGCAGUCAACUGAACCCACUGUAUAAAUGGAACAGACAUCAAAUCUUAAAUAAACUUUAUUAAAUUGAUCAGUAUUAACACACCUAUUGUACACAGCUGGUCUGUGUACUUGACUGAGAUGGGUUAUUUAUUUAUUUAUUUAUUUAUUUUUAUCAGACCAUGCCUGUGUCUGUUCUGAAAUCUUUCCAUUCUUUCAUCCAAUUAAAUGACCAGUCCUCUAUUACAGAGAUGUGGAUUUAAUUACAUUGAAAAGUUAUUUUGAGUACAUUUUUUUCUUUAGGAACAUACAAAUUUGGGUUACUCAAAAUCACUGAUCAUUGUUAAAUAAUAGAAUGAGCAUCAUAACGAACAAUUUUGCUCUCCCUAUUGAUUAUCUUAACUUUGCAGUGCUUUAUGGAAACUGGAUCCAGGCUAUUUGGACUAGUGUUUUAGAAGAACCAGCUAGCAACAGAAGAAAAAAAACAUCUCAAAGUUUAUUGGACAGUGUGCGCUCUGCUUGUCCUGUAUUCUGUAUUGGUUAGUGGUGAGUAGCCUCUACUAAGCAAUCUUAUGCCGUACACUGCGCUAUAUGGUCAAAGGUUUGUAGACACCCGACGAUCACACCAAUAUGUGGGAAAUCAAUUUCGGAAAAAUAAUGGAGAGCAGUGCUGGACAGUACAUAUAUCCUUGCCACAAAUGUGAGGCACAGUGAGUAACCCAAACACACACACACACACACACACACACACACACACACACACACACACACACACACACACACACACACACACACACACACACACACACAGAGAGGGAGAGGGAGAGUUUUAUUUGACUUCUGUACAGUUGUUACCAUUGUUAUUGUCACUAUUAUUAUUACUGUUACUUUCUGUUCUGUAAUCUCUAUUUCGCUAUAUGGAAAGUCAAUGAAAUAACCAAAUGUGUUUAUUUGUGGCAGUUUCUUUCUCUUUUCAACACUAUAUGGCCCAAAGUUUGACCUGACCAUCACACCCAUAUGUAUUUCUUCCCCAAACUGUUGCCACAAUGUUGGAAACACCCAAUUGUAUAUAAUGUUUUUGUAUGCUGUAGCAUUACAAUUUCCCUUCACUGGAACUAAGAGGUCCAAACCUGUUCCAGCAUGACAAUACCCCUGUGCACAAAGUGAGCUCCAUGAAGACAUGGUUUGUGAAGAAUCUCAAAGUUUGCCAAGGCUGGUGUGGAAGAAAUCAAGAAGAACUGGACCUCAACUUGACCACUGAGUACCUUUGUGUUGAACUGGAACACCAUCUGCGUACCAGGCCUCCUCACCAGACAUCAGUACCUCACCCCACUAAAGCUUUUGGCCAUAUAGUAUAUUAUAUCUUGUAAUUUUAUCUUCAUAUCUUUAUUUUAAAAACCAUAAGCCGCCAGUGAGGCCAGCCAUGGUUCAGAACACUUGGAGCAGAUAGGGUUAAGGGUCUUGCACAAGGACCCAGCAAAUCUAGUCUGACAGUGCUAGGACUUUUAACUCACGCCCUUCUGAUCAUCACCCCAAAGCUUUAACUACUGAGCCACCACUGCCAAUAACAUCCAUUUUGAAAGUUAACCUGCCAUUCAGACUGGCUACUGACAUAACUUAACUUUCUGUACUGUUCUCCAGUGAAUAUUUCCUUUUUGCCUCUUUGCUUGUCCUUUGACAGGCAAAUUUUGGGUGUGUCUUGGGCAAAGUGCUGAUUGUGAAGAAGCAGCUGCUAAAAUAUAAACCCCAUAUCUGUCUGUCCAUGUGUCUGUCUGUCUGUCUGUCUCUCUCACUCUCUCUCUUUCUCACACACACACACACACACUCACACACACAUGCACACGCAAACACAGCCACAGACAAACAGCUUAAUCUCAAUUCCAGCAGGGUCUACUGCAUUCCAACACUAAUAUAGCGCAAUGAGAUAACAGUGGGAUUAUGGCAGAGCAAAAUGGGAGCCACUGCAUUUAAGAGCAACAUACGUUUAACUGUAGGUGAGAUUUGCCUAAGCAUUCAUCUAUGCACUUGGAGUUUGUGCUUGAAAACUUGGCCUUCUGAGAGCGCAUGCUGCAAUAAUUCCUUUAUUUCUAAUGUGCGGUCCUACACUGAGUAAAGAAGGUUAGACAGAACCAAAAACAACCAAAAUAUAUUCCAUAAGCCAGGAGAAGCCAUUACAAAGUGCCAAAAAUAGAGCCCAUACCAUUCUCCAACUCUGGCUCUGAAGCCCUACUUGGAGAAGGAACAGAAAAGUGUUCGCCAAUGAAUACAUAAUGAAAUGCAGUAGUCUAGCCAAUAUUUCUUAUUUACUUCUGGGACUAGACAGGCAGAUUGUAGGUGUGUGGCUCAAACCCCAGGCUUACAGCAAAUAUAUUAGGCUCUGGUCAAUCGCAUUCUGUAUAAGACUCUUACUGCAUGUGAGCCAACAUUAAGACCGAUUUUCACUUGUAUAUGCUUUGGAACUGCUCCUGUCUUGUGUUGGCAGAAUGAAAUGGGCCCAUCCAUUGUUGUUUUUCAGUUACAGAAGCUGCAAUAGCAAGCCUGUUGUGUGAAUUUAGUUUAAUUAUGUACCACUGAUCAGUUUCAGUAUACCGACACAUGGUCACAUCCACAUCCACAUAAUGUGGCUCACCUCAUGGUCUCAUUAUAUUCUGAGAAAGUAAGCAGCAAAGCCUGAGUCAUGAGCUGCUCAGAAUUAGAUUACUUUAGCCUUCACUUCCAGGCAGCUCCUACCUAAUGCCGAAAUGCAUGUUUUCCAGUAAGACCACCACUGUUCACUACUGUUGCUAAGUCAAAGGAAUAACAGGCUUGUAGAUCAUUUACGACUUAAUUUAAAGGUUUAGCCCCCAGAGAGAACGCAAGAGAGGGAGAGAGAGGGAGUGUAAUGAAAUAAAACAGAUUUUAUGCUAAUUGCGUCCGUGCACGAUAAAGUGCACUAGGUCCAUUUAGCUUAUUGAUUGAGAGGGAGCUGUGGAGCAGCCGUCAGUCAGUUCAGCCCGCCACUGGGGAACAGGAAGAGUAACGCCGUCAGGAAUACAGUGUGCUCGGAUGAUCAUGAUUCGGGGUAAUGGAAUAAUGGAAUGACUGGGCUGUUGCUUGAUUCUUUCUUAAAUCCAUUUCACUCUUCAUCUUUAUCUCCAUUUGCAACUCUUGUUCCUCUUCAGUUCUCUACAGUCAGUGGGUCUUCAUGGUGUCUGUGGAUGCCAAAAUGAAGAAAGGCUUUAGCACAUUCCUAAGGGGUUUUGAACUUUGAAUCCGGCGCGUAAUCGUAUUCUGUUCCACUGGCCUAGAGCUGUGGGUUAUUACCUUUCCAGUUCUUACAUUAUCAGGUUAGCGGUGUCUUUGUGUUUUUUCAUCUCUCACUCUCUCUCUCUCUCUCUCUCUCUCUCUCUCUCUCUCUCUCUCUCUCUCUCUCUCUCUCUCUCAUGCACACACACACACACACACAUGCAUUUUUAAACUACACUAUUAGUCGGGUUAGAGGUCAUAAGCCUUAGGGUGGGGGUAUUUUUCUAGUAACUGUAUACCACGUACUUGGACAAUACCAACAUUUUCAGUGUCAAUGCGAUAAUAGAGUUCAGGCUAAAAUGCAAGGUGUGUGUAUGCAUACAUAUAUGCAUGUGGUUACUUCACCGUAGUGUUCAAUGUGUUAUGGUACCUUUUUAAUGUCUACUCACUUGUAUUGUUGUAGGAUUUUUAUAGAAAGAAACCACAAUGUAUCACCACAUUAUUUUGCUUCUCGUUUGCAUGAAGCUAAUCCCUGUUCAACCUUAUAUCACUUGUCCCACCCAUUUCACCUUGAAAAUGGUCAUGACACCACUUUCUGUUGCAAAUCACGAUUUCUCAACUUGAAAAACUCCUUUGUAACAUUAAACUACCACGAAGUGUGGAUAUACUUGCGGUAUCAUAUGAAUAUUCCAUAGUGGUGGAGUACUAGUGUAUGCAAUACAAAAAGCCAAUGUAAGUUUUAUUAGGCAGAAUGAGAGUGUGUAAAUUCAAGUUUUCAGAAAUUAUAGUAACAUGCCAGAGAGGUGGUCAAAAAACAGGUCCAUAGGGUUAAACUAGUGCAAUUGACACAUUGACACUAGUUGAACAUAGGAAGUACAGUGAAUGAACAAACCAGGAACAAGGGAACCCAAUGUUUGGAAAUGACACGAACAGAGAACAUAAACACAGAGGGAAACCCAGAGGAUUUAAAUAAACAAAUGAUUUAGGGAGGAACCAGAAACCUGUGAGGCUGUCGCAUUCAAACCCUCAUCAAAUUCAACCAGGAGCACAGACUCCUUUUCUGAGGCAGUCCAGGAAUUACCUCACUGGCAAUCAUCAUGUUACUAGUCAGCUGUGACUCAACAAAAACACUCAUUUGAGGACUAUAUAAACAAGCCACAUACUCACACAUCGCUAAGUCUUGCCAUUGUUUUCCCUGUGUAUUACUAAGGAGUGUAUUCUGAUUCUGUUAUUGACCUUCGCUUCAUUUACUUAAUCUGCUUUAUUUACUUCCCUUUUUCUGUUUGACCAAAAGGAACAAACAGGACAAAAAGAGCACAGAGUAUGGGACAUGAUGGAACAAAAUGAGACAAGAGGAACUGUAAAUACAGUUUGGAGAAGUCUGAUGUACAUGCCCUCUGGUCCUUUCCUGAUCUCUCUCAAAAUCACUUCGUAAAUCAACACACUGGGUAAAUCCUUUCAAUAGACCCAUCCCACUUGUGGUUGGCACUCUAUCCAGGGUGUCCCCUGCCUUGUGCCUCGAGUUCCCUGGGAUAGGCUCCAAGCUUCCUGCAACCCUGUGUAGGAUAAGGGGGAGAACACUAACUCCAGGAUCUCAGCCUGUCUGUGAUGAUUUAUGAUUGUACAGGGGUGAAAUGUCUAUUCAAUCUUACUGCCCCUAGUGGGACAUAGUGUCUGUGUUUCUCUGACCAGCAAGUGAAAGUCUGGCUUACAGUAAUUCUCUCUCUCUCUCUCUCUCUCUCUCUCUCUCUCUCUCUCUCUGUCUCUCUGUGUGUGUGUGUGUGUGUGUGUGUGUGUGUGUGUGUGUGUGUGUGUGUGUGUGUGUGUGUGUGUGUGUGUUUAUUUGAGAGUCUGGCCAUAUGUUCUCUCUUCUCCAGGAGGCAAAUGGAUGUUAGAAUGGAGGUAAGGAUGGCCAUCCAUAAAGUCCUACAUACUGUAUGAGCUGAUCCAACCUGACCUUUUUAAUGAGCUCCAGAUGGCUGCAAAACCUCCAACAGAACCUGCAUCAGCUCUUACCUGGCCUGUAUGAUGUGUGUGUGUGUGUGUGUGUGUGUGUGUGUGUGUGUGUGUGUGUGUGUGUGUGUGUGUGUGUGUGUGUGUGUUUUCCUACAUGGGUGUAAACUGACUGAAUCCAGGCUGCAGGUGUAGUGUGUCAUGGCUAAGAUCUGUGUCCAGAGGGGGGAAAAAAACAAAGUUUCAAACAAAGUGCCCUUUGCCCUCACUCCACUCUGUGCCUCUCCCUGACUUGAUCAGUGAAACUUACCAUUAUAGCUGCACCUCCAACACUCUACUCUCUCUAAUCCAUUUCUCUAAACAUUUUAGCUCAUAUUCCUUCUGAUCUUAGCCCAUUUUCUGAGUCUUACUUAGCAGGAUUUCCUUGGUUAUGGGUAGCAUGAUCAGUAAUGUGAAAAGCAUGUGUGUAUGUAUGUGGAUAUAAUUUUAUACAUGAAGCUGCAGGUAUGUGUCAUCCACAUUUACUGCAGUGUAAAAGCAUGUCGAGAAACCCCGAGGAGAAUCUGCUGAUCAGUAGUGGUGAUGUAUUUUCUUCCUUUAAGGGAGUGAUAAAAACCCAGCUUCAUUGCAGAGAAACAUUGUUGGACAUUUUCUUUUUCCAGAAAACUAAAGCUACAUGGCUUUGAUUGACUAGCCUGAGAAGGAUUUCACAAUAUUUCUGUGUGAAGUAUACUCAAACAAAAAACCCACUGAAAACCUGAAAGGCGAACGCUUGUCAGUAUGAUGUUUUAGUGGUUUGACCCUUAAACUUUGUAGAUGGGAGUCUGAAUCCCCCACUGCUUAGUUUGCAGAGUUCGCUGUGGUCUGUCCCACUUUUAAGGUUAACCUUCAAGGUGUGAGGGAUUCCCAGCCACAUAUUUUUUUAAUUUAUCAGUACCACUCGCUCUGCUAAAGGGUGGUCUUUCACAUCGCCUUCGCUUGUGGGUUUGCGCGCCUACAUGUGGUGUGAUCAUUGUUUCGUUUCUUCACAGUCUUGCCCUCUAAUGCUGUCGUCCCUAUCACCAUCUUCCCCUCUUGAUCUUUCUCUACAAUAAAUGGUUUUCACAUUGUCUGGACUUUUUUUGGCUUUAAGACAGCAGAGGUCCUGAGUUGGUGGUUUUUAGGUGACAUUUUAUCUUCUGUUUGAUGGGAAUUCAGAUGUGUGAAGCCCCC